CGCGCACACACUGUCACAGGGACCCUCGGGUCUGUCUCCCUGGACCGCAAAGUCGGCGCCUCACAGGCCCAGAAGUCGAAAAUGAGAAACCUGGGUGAAACACAGGUUAAGUGAACUCGCAGCCCUGGGAGGAAUAUCACGUGACUCACCUCUAAGGUCAACGUUCCUGCCAGACCACUAGCCUGGUGUGAGCGUCUACAACCCGAGUCUUAAGCCACACACAGCGCGAACAUACUAGAAGCACGGACCUCUUAAUCUUCCAGUGCGCCUCACCUUUGCGUCUCAUGCAGCCUUAUGAACGGACGAGCCAUUCUCGCGCGACUUGUACCAAAUUCUCAGGAAAGGAAAACUUUCGCGAGACUUGGAACUUGCGGCUCUUUUUGCAAUAGAGAGCCGCGUGGUGGCAAGCGCAGCCCUUUGGGUAAGCGGUGCUCAGCCGCUAAGUCAUGUCCCACUCUUUACGACUCCCAUGGACUGUAACCCACCAGGCUCCUCUGUCCAUGGGACUCCCCAGGCAAAACUACUGGAAUGGGUUGCCAUUUCCUCCUCCAGGGGAUCUUCCAGACCCAGGGAUUGAACCCUCGUCUCUUAUGUCUCCUGCAUUGGCAGACAGGUUCUUUACCACUAACGCCACCUGGGAAGCCCUUGGGAAAUGGCUCUUUGUCCAAGGAGAAACACUUUCCUUCCCAUGUCUGUUAAUGGAAGAUCUUGCCGUCAGCUUGGAAACCGCCAAGCAGGUGGUGAUUUGUGGAGGGCAAGAGUUGGACUGUGAAGAAAGCUGAUCGCCGAAGAAUUGAUGCUUUUGAACUGUGGUGUUGGAGCAGACUCUUGAGAGUCCCUUGGACUGCAAGGAGAUCCAGCCAGUCCAUUCUGAAGGAGAUCAGCCCUGGGAUUUCUUUGGAGGAAAUGAUGCUGAAGCUGAAACUCCAGUACUUUGGCCACCUCAUGCGAAGAGUUGACUCAUUGGAAAAGACUCUGAUCCUGGGAGGGAUAGGGGGCAGGAGGAGAAGGGGAUGACAGAGGAUGAGAUGGCUGGAUGGCAUCACUGACUCUAUGGACGUGAGUCUGGGUGAACUCCGGGAGUUGGUGAUGGACGGGAAGGCCUGGCGUGCUGUGAUUCAUGGGGUCACAAAGAGUCGGACACGACUGAGCGACUGAACUGAACUGAACUGAGUGUCUGAAUAAUAUUCCACGUUUUCUUUAUUCAUUCAUUUCUUGCGUACUUUAGGUUUUAUCCAUGUCUUGGCUAUUGUAAAUAAUGCUGCAAUAAACAUAGG
ensembl:lncRNA